AAAUUGAAUGAGUACAAUUUAAAUCCUUUAACGAGGAUCAACUGGAGGGCAAGUCUGGUGCCAGCAGCCGCGGUAACUCCAGCUCCAGAAGCGUAUAUUAAAGUUGUUGCAGUUAAAAAGCUCGUAGUUGGAUCUGGGUCGCAUGGCCGCAUGCCGUCGCUUGUGAACCUGUCCCAGUGACUGCUGGAACGGGCUUGCGAGUCGGUCUAGUGGUUGUGCUUCCUUUCUGCUGUGUCUGUUUACAGGUGUCAGCGUGAUUGGUGGGUUUACCCGCCGGUCCGCUGGCAUGCUUCUUGAUGCCUUUAAACGGGUGUCGGAGGCGGACAGCACGUUUACUUUGAACAAAUUUGAGUGCUCAAAGCAGGCCUUUGUGCCUGAAAAUUCUUGCAUGGAAUAAUGGAAUAGGACUUCGGUUCUAUUUUGUUGGUUUUCGGAUCCGAAGUAAUGGUUAAGAGGGACAGACGGGGGCAUUUGUAUGGCGGUGUUAGAGGUGAAAUUCUUGGAUCGCCGCCAGACAAAC
rnacentral:rRNA from 1 species